UAAUACGUACUGUGCGAACGUUAUUCGGAAUCACUGGGCUUAAAGGGUGCGUAGGCGGUUUUUCAAGUCAGGUGUGAAAUCUUCAGGCUCAACCUGGAAAUGGCGCUUGAAACUGAGAGACUUGAGGCAGCUAGGGGUGUGUGGAACUUCCAGUGGAGCGGUGAAAUGUGUUGAUAUUGGAAGGAACGCCGGUGGCGAAAGCGACACACUGGGGCUGAACUGACGCUGAGGCACGAAAGCCAGGGGAGCGAACGGGAUUAGAUACCCCGGUAGUCCUGGCCGUAAACGAUGAGCACUAGUUGGGAGGGGCUUGUCCUUUCCCGACGCAGCGAAAGCAUUAAGUGCUCCGCCUGGGGAGUAUGGUCGCAAGGCUG
rnacentral:rRNA from 1 species